GCAUCCUUAGCUCAGUUGGAUAGAGCAGUAGCCUUCUAAGCUAUUGGUCACUGGUUCGAAUCCAGUAGGGUGUA
rnacentral:tRNA from 1 species